rnacentral:rRNA from 1 species
UACAGAGGGGGCAAGCGUUGUUCGGAAUUACUGGGCGUAAAGGGCGCGUAGGCGGCCUGCUAAGUCGAACGUGAAAUCCCUGGGCUCAACCCAGGAACUGCGUCCGAUACUGGUUGGCUUGAAUCCGGGAGAGGGAUGUGGAAUUCCAGGUGUAGCGGUGAAAUGCGUAGAUAUCUGGAGGAAUACCGGUGGCGAAGGCGGCAUCCUGGACCGACAUUGACGCUGAUGAGCGAAAGCCAGGGGAGCAAACGGG